GGCUUUGUAGCUCAGCUGGUAAAGCAUUUGCUGCAUUUGGGCAUGCAGUUUCUGUCGCUGGUUCGAACCCAGCCGAAGCCC